rnacentral:lncRNA from 1 species
AAAGGGGAGGAGCAGGGAGGUGGAGGAGGGACGAGCAUCGUGCCUGGACGUGAGGAGUGGGGCCUUGUGGACCCGUCCCCGAGCACCUGCGAGGGCUGGAAGAACCACUCGAGGACGCCUGGCAGUAUUGACAGCACUCAGCGCUCUCUCUUCAAAUGACUCCUCGACCGCAUGUGGUUGACGCACCGCGGCGUCCCGGAGGUUUAGAGGCGUCCAGAAACUUGUCUGGCAGGAUCGACUUGUUGACUUCGCGGCCUUCUAGGCCAGUGUCAUCACCUCAAAAACAGGAGGAGAAAAAUACAGAGAGAAGUGGCAGGAGGGAACAAUAGAGGACAGAAGUGCAUGACAGAAGCCACAGUGAUUCCCAGACCUGGGAAAGGUGGGACCACUGCAGAGACUGCCAAGAUAGAGUGCUUCACUGCUUGACCUCACCCUUCCUGAAGCUCUGCCUGCUUCCUGCACUUCAGCUGAGGCGAUGGAGAGACCUUGCCUGAAGUAGUAAGCAUAUGAGAUGGAGAGACUGGCUAUUACUCUCUUCCCUGAGUACCUUCAGAACGUUCCCAGACUGAUAAACAUUCCCCUCUUGUAUGGCAAUUUGAACUGCUUUCCACAUCAGAGGCUCAAAGGCGCCUGGCUGGAAUGUCCUCGUCUUGCCAGGGGAAGAAGAAAUUUUCCUCAGCCAAGGUUUUCCAGUUGCUUGGACACCCACAUUAUAGCUUUUGUCGCUUGACCUAUCUUUCUCUGUUGCUCUCUCUCAACUCGGUUUGUAAGUCAGAGGUAGGAAUUUCUGGUUUAGGCCUACCAGAGAAACAUUUUGUGGGAAAUUCUGGAAGGACAAUUUAUGUUUACAUUCUUAUUUUUGAUGAAACUACACGGGAAAACAAUGGUGUGCCAUCAAGUAUUAUACUGACCGUCUUUCAGAGAAGCGAGUGUGGUGGUCUAGUUAGAAGCAUGGGUUUUAUACACUGGGAACUCUGGGUGCAAGUCAUAGCUCCACCAUUUUUCCAGCCGUGACCUAAUUUACUUUAUGAAAAGUUUCAUUACACGUAGCUGAAGCCACAUUGUAACUGACCUGCCCAUUCAAAGUUUAAAUCUUUUGCAUCACUUUACAAAGCACUUUCACACACAUUGUUUUAUUUAUUCUACUCAACAACCUAUGAGGGAGGCAGGACAAAUAUUAUUAUUCAUAUUUUACAAGGAAAACAAUCUGAGGUUCAGAAUGUAAACUGCCCAAGUUUACAGUGGAAAUUUGGGAUUGAAAUCUAGGUUUCUGUAUUUCAAAUUCUGCCAGGUCCAUGUAAAUAUGCAGUAGCAAAAACAAGUAACUUGUAAGAGGGAACAACUUGUUACAACCACCAAGCACAGGACUUCUGGAGCCAAUCCAUCUGCAUUCAAGUGCCAGCUCUGCCACCUGCUGGCGUGUGCCAUCAGUUACAUACCUUCAC